GAGGGUAAAGCUCAGUGUUAGAGCGCAUGCUUAGCAUGCACAAAGUCCUGGGUUCAAUCCCCAGCACCUCCA
rnacentral:tRNA from 1 species